GAUGAACGCUGGCGGCGUGCCUAAUACAUGCGAGUCGAGCGAACAGACGAGGAGCUUGCUCCUCUGACGUUAGCGGCGGACGGGUGAGUAACACGUGGAUAACCUACCUAUAAGACUGGGAUAACUUCGGGAAACCGGAGCUAAUACCGGAUAAUAUAUUGAACCGCAUGGUUCAAUAGUGAAAGACGGUUUUGCUGUCACUUAUAGAUGGAUCCGCGCCGCAUUAGCUAGUUGGUAAGGUAACGGCUUACCAAGGCAACGAUGCGUAGCCGACCUGAGAGGGUUGUCGGCCAACAUGGAAACGGAGACCCGUCCCAGCCCCCAACGGAGGCAGCAAGAAGGAAUCUUUCCGCAUGGGGCGAAGGCCUGACGGGACACCCCCGCGGGAGGAAUAAGGUUUUCGGGAGCUAAAAACUCUUUCAUUAGGAAAAAACAAAUGUGAAAGUAACUAUGCACGCCUGCAGGUUCCCUAAUAAGAAGGCCACGGCAAACCACGUC
rnacentral:rRNA from 1 species